rnacentral:rRNA from 1 species
UACGUAGGGUGCAAGCGUUAAUCGGAAUUACUGGGCGUAAAGCGUGCGCAGGCGGUUGUGCAAGACAGAUGUGAAAUCCCCGGGCUCAACCUGGGAAUUGCAUUUGUGACUGCACGGCUAGAGUGUGUCAGAGGGGGGUAGAAUUCCACGUGUAGCAGUGAAAUGCGUAGAGAUGUGGAGGAACACCGAUGGCGAAGGCAGCCCCCUGGGUCAAGAUUGACGCUCAUGCACGAAAGCGUGGGGAGCAAACAGGAUUAGAUACCCUGGUAGUCCACGCCCUAAACGAUGUCUACUAGUUGUCGGGUCUUAAUUGACUUGGUAACGCAGCUAACGCGUGAAGUAGACCGCCUGGGGAGUACGGUCGCAAGAUUA